rnacentral:lncRNA from 1 species
UGGACAGAGCACAUUUUCUUCAUCUGUUCAUCUGUUGAUGGCCAUGUGGGUUAUUUCCACAUCUUGGCCCUUGUGAAUAAUACUGCAGUGAACAUAGGAGUGCAGAUAGAAUCACAUCACCUUGGCUCUGCAGUGAUGAUUUCCACGAUCUACGCAGAGAUCGAUACUUACCAUCUGAAAGGGAUAAAUCAAGAAACAGAGACUAAGUAUGGUAUUAAAAGUUACAAAGGCGAUCUGUAUGAAAACUCAGAUUAAUACCAGAACUAAAUUCAGCAAGGGAAAGGAGAAGUGGAAGAUGGUAAAAUGUGGUCAGUUUCUCAUCUUUCUUUGCAAGGGGGAAGCAGAUACUGCCUGAAGGAGAGAGAGUAUGAAUGGGGAAGAAGAACAGAGGGAAAUGGAGAAGCAGAAUGUCAGCUGAGCAGAAAGCCUGACGCGGGGCUCAAACCCAGGACCCCAGGACUGUGACCAGAGCUGAAGGUGGACGUUCGAGGACUGAGCCAUCCAGGCGCCCUUGUAAACUUUCUUCCACUCUGUUAUUACUAACACUCUUGAAAUCAUAUUCUUUUCCAUUUCUUUUUCCAUUCAACAUUAUGUUGUGAGCAUACUCCC